GGUGAACCUGCGGAAGGAUCAUUAUUGAAUUAACUUGUUGGGUUGUAGCUGGCUCUUAGGAGCAUGUGCACACCCUUCAUUGUUUUUCCACCUGUGCACUUUAUGUAGUCCUGGAAGUCUUGCAAAAGAUACCCCAGCUCAGAAGGUUUACUCCUAUCUGAGCUUCCAGGUCUAUGUUUUUCAUAUACCCCAUUAGAAUGUUCAGAAUGUCAUUUAUAGGCUUUAAUGCCAUUAAACUUAAUACAACUUUCAACAACGGAUCUCUUGGUUCUCGCAUCGAUGAAGAACGCAGCGAAAUGCGAUAAGUAAUGUGAAUUGCAGAAUUCAGUGAAUCAUCGAAUCUUUGAACGCACCUUGCGCUCCCUGGUAUUCCGGGGAGCAUGCCUGUUUGAGUGUCAUUAAAUUCUCAAUCUCAUCAUCUUUGACUAGUUGGUGUAGGCUUGGAUGUGGGGGUUGCAGGCUUCUCAGAAGUCAGCUCUCCUUAAAUGCAUUAGCGGAACCUUUGUGGACCGUCAUUGGUGUGAUAAUUAUCUACGCCGUUGUCGUGAAGCAGCUUACAUGGGGUUCAGCUUAUAACCGUCCAUUGACUUGGACAACUCUUGACAUUUUGACCUCAAAUCAGGUAGGACUACCCGCUGAACUUAAGCAUAUCAAUAAGCGGAGGAAAAGAAACUAACAAGGAUUCCCCUAGUAACUGCGAGUGAAGCGGGAAAAGCUCAAAUUUAAAAUCUGGUAGCCUUUGGUUGCCCGAGUUGUAAUCUAGAGAAGUGUUAUCCGCGUCGGACCGUGUACAAGUCUCCUGGAAUGGAGCGUCAUAG
rnacentral:rRNA from 1 species